rnacentral:rRNA from 1 species
GGGGGUGUAGCAAUACAUCACCGGCGGACGGGUGCGUAACACGUGGGAAUGUACCUAAUGGUUCGGAACAACGCUUGGAAACGAGUGCUAAUACCGGAUGAGCCCGCAAGGGGAAAGAUUUAUCGCCAUUAGAUCAGCCCGCGUAGGAUUAGCUAGUUGGUGAGGUAAUGGCUCACCAAGGCGACGAUCCUUAGCUGUUCUGAGAGGAAGAUCAGCCACACUGGGACUGAGACACGGCCCAGACUCCUACGGGAGGCAGCAGUUGGGAAUCUUGGACAAUGGGGGAAACCCUGAUCCAGCCAUGCCGCGUGAGUGAUGAAGGCCUUAGGGUUGUAAAGCUCUUUUGCCCGGGAAGAUAAUGACUGUACCGGGAGAAUAAGCUCCGGCUAACUUCGUGCCAGCAGCCGCGGUAAUACGAAGGGGGCUAGCGUUGUUCGGAAUUACUGGGCGUAAAGCGUGCGCAGGCGGCUUUUCAAGUCAGGGGUGAAAGCCCAGAGCUCAACUCUGGAACUGCCUUUGAAACUGUUAAGCUUGAGUGCGGGAGAGGUGAGUGGAAUUCCCAGUGUAGAGGUGAAAUUCGUAGAUAUUGGGAAGAACACCGGUGGCGAAGGCGGCUCACUGGCCCGUUUCUGACGCUCAUGCACGAUAGCGUGGGGAUCAAACAGGAUUAGAUACCCUGGUAGUCCACGCCGUAAACUAUGGACGCUAGCCGUUGGGUAGCUUGCUAUUCAGUGGCGCAGCUAACGCCUUAAGCUCCCGCC